UUGACCAACGAGUCGUCUCUGUACGUUCGUACGUUCCGUUGCAUGUGUGCAACCACAAAUGCGCGAACGUCAAUGUAUUGCAAACGAAGUAGAGGCGUCUAGACGCUAAUUAAGUAGAGAAAAUUCAAUAUUCCUAAUACUCGUAGUGGAACGAAAACUAUUUCAAGUAUUUGGUCUUCGUUACGGCACGAAAGAAAACUUGCGCGCUUGACGGAACUGGGAAAGUCGAGUGUUCAAUGUCAUUCGAAAAUGGCAAUGAGAAAACUAAUUUUCCGGCACGAAAACACAUUCCGUAACUUUCAGCCGAAAUGUACGGUCCAGCGGUCACAUAAUCUUGAUUUUCGGACGAGAGCUACGCGUGUGCUGUCAGUGCUGUUUUGCCGAUUCGAUUAUUCAGAUUCAAAUAAAUAUUUUGUUUUUUUACACAUCCAUGGAAACUAACGGAGUUGGAAGAAAAGUGAGGUUAGAGCGACGGAUCGGGUUCGUGAAAACCCGAAGUGUUAUUCCUUAAAAAAGUUUCGAUCUCCGCUCGAGAGGCCAAGAUCUAUACGUUUAUCGUAGAAAUGAUUGUAUCGAGAAGAAAGCGUCUCACAAUUCAAGGAUUCACACAAAUAAUGCUGGUCGACUGAGAAGUGAGGUUAGGAACGAAGAAUACUGAAUUGAGAAUCCGAGGACUGCUGUCGUAGCGCCACGGAACGUCGUACAGCUGCACCUUCGGCACGAGGGGUCGAUCGAUUAGUCAAACGCUCAAAUGUACGACAAACGGUAUGAAUUGUGUACCAAGAUUGGACAAGGCCAGAGAGAACGAUCGAUUCGUUCGGAAGGAAAUAAUGGAAGGACUUUGCCGAGGAUUUACGUGUCGCGUAUCACGGAUUCUUUCGUGUCAAUCUACCGUAUAACCUCGAAAUUCUCGGUUUAUUUAAUUAACGAUCUUACACUACUUUUUUUCCGGCUGCAGAGAAUAAAUGUGGAAUAAAUGUGAAUUCACGACAUUC